ACGCUGGCGGCAGGCUUAACACAUGCAAGUCGAACGGUAACAGGGAUUAGCUUGCUAAUUUGCUGACGAGUGGCGGACGGGUGAGUAAUGCUUGGGAAUCUGGCUUAUGGAGGGGGAUAACUACGGGAAACUGUAGCUAAUACCGCGUAAUAUCGGAAGAUUAAAGGGUGGGACUUUCGAGCCACCUGCCAUAAGAUGAGCCCAAGUGGGAUUAGGUAGUUGGUUAGGUAAAGGCUGACCAAGCCGACGAUCUCUAGCUGGUCUGAGAGGAUGACCAGCCACACUGGAACUGAGACACGGUCCAGACUCCUACGGGAGGCAGCAGUGGGGAAUAUUGCACAAUGGGGGGAACCCUGAUGCAGCCAUGCCGCGUGAAUGAAGAAGGCCUUCGGGUUGUAAAGUUCUUUCGGUGACGAGGAAGGUUGAUAGGUUAAUAGCCUAUCAAAUUGACGUUAAUCACAGAAGAAGCACCGGCUAACUCCGUGCCGGCAGCCGCGGUAAUACGGGGGGUGCGAGCGUUAAUCGGAAUAACUGGGCGUAAAGGGCACGCAGGCGGUGACUUAAGUGAGAUGUGAAAGCCCCGAGCUUAACUUGGGAAUUGCAUUUCAUACUGGGUCGCUAGAGUACUUUAGGGAGGGGUAGAAUUCCACGUGUAGCGGUGAAAUGCGUAGAGAUGUGGAGGAAUACCGAAGGCGAAGGCAGCCCCUUGGGAAUGUACUGACGCUCAUGUGCGAAAGCGUGGGGAGCAAACAGGAUUAGAUACCCUGGUAGUCCACGCUGUAAACGAUGUCGAUUUGGGGAUUGGGCUUUGAGCUUGGUGCCCGUAGCUAACGUGAUAAAUCGACCGCCUGGGGAGUACGGCCGCAAGGUUAAAACUCAAAUGAAUUGACGGGGGCCCGCACAAGCGGUG
rnacentral:rRNA from 1 species